UCUGUCACACAAGAAAGACUGGUAUUUGUUCUAUCUUGGCUGUGAUUGAAUCAUUCGCUGGCUGAGUGACUUUAAUUACUCUUGCAAAUAAAACCCUAUGGUAUGGGCUUUUGAUUAUUUUUCUCUAUUUAAUUUAUGUGUUCAAAAGUUAAAUUCAAAUAUCAAUAUGAAAUUUCAAGAUUUCUCUAACAUCAAAACUGUGUAGGAAAAGGGCUUGGAAGUUGUAUAAAAUG
rnacentral:lncRNA from 1 species